rnacentral:lncRNA from 12 species
AUGGCGUCUAAUGGGGUUGAUGAUCUGCUGCGGCGCGGACACGCUCUUGGGGCUCAUGGGCAUAUAGUCCCCACUGCCCUUCCGGCUGCUGGGCACCGGUGCCACUCCCGGGGACAUGGGCAUGUAGCCAUCAUCCGUGUGGAGGGCGGCGGCGUCCGGCCGGUGGUGGCCCCCACGCCUGUCCAGAGGGUGCAUUUCCAGACCCUCCUCGGGGUAGGAGUGGGUGGGCACGAAGGCAGAGUGCCGGUAGCCAGGCAGUCGGCCUCCACUGCCACCUCCUGGCGGGUAGGCAGGCAUCAUCUCCGUGUACUCCUCAAUGGAAGCCACAGAAGACUGGGACGGGGUCUUCUGGUGGGAAAUGGUAGGGGAUGUGCCCGCGGAGUGAGUCCGCUUUCGGAACCGGUUAUCCAGGUCGGCCGCAGCGGCCGCUUCAUCCGCAGCCAGGGCCGGGCUGGUGCCCAAGCCAGCCCCCGGGAUGUAGCGGUGGCCAUUGCCACCCCGAGGCAAAAUGUAGUGACCGUUGGGGGCGGUGAGGGUGGAGGACCCUUUGCCUCCCAUGCAGAUGUAGUUGCUCAGCUCCUCCUCGCCGCGGGCCGGGGGGGUGUGGCCCAGGGAAUCCGGGGUGACACUGCGGAAGGAACUUCGGAAAUCGCAGGGACUCGAGCCGUACUCGUCAGAGGAGAUGAAACCACCGUCGCUGGGGGAACCCGACACAGAGGCACUAGAGCGCCGGGGGAAGAGGCAGUCCGAGGUGGAGCCGUGGCCACUGGUGCUGCUGGACGACAGGCUGACCGGGCUGGUGGCGGAAGGCGAGCAGCGAGAGGAAGGCAUGGGGAUGGAGCGGCUGUGGUUGAGCGGGGGGUGCAGCCGGGAGCUGCCGCGAUGCCGGUGCGCGUGGGUCCUGGUGGUGCUCGGGCUCACGGGGCUGCCGUCCACCGAGGCCGGGCGGGACAUGGUGCCCUCGCCGUCGCUGGACGCGCGCACACGGAAGGAGCCCUGCUUCCCGCCCACCAUGCUGGCCGGAGAGGUGGCGGUGAUGCUCUCGGUGCGCGAGCGGCGCGUCAGCCCCACCUGGCUGGGAGGGGGGUUGUUGAGGUGGUGCCGGCGCAGGGGGACGCUGAUGGGGUUGGAGCAGUUGGAGGAGGACUGGCUCUUACUCCGAGGGCGGAACUCGUCGCUCAUGGCCCGCAUGGCCUCCAGGAUGGUCUCGUGCAUGUUCUGGGCCACCACGGAGUCAUCCACCUGCAUCCAGAACUCGCCGGGUCCCGUCACUGCGGAACGGCCCACUUCGAUGAAGAAGAAGUUCUCCGAGUGGCCGCAACGUCGGAUGUUCAUCAGCUGCAGCACCACGGCCGCCGCCUCGGAGUUCAGCUUCACGAAGCUGAUGGUCUUGCUGGUCAGGCAGAGGCGGUAGAUGCCAAUCAGGUUCUUUGUCUGCCCCAGGCCCUUGGGUUUCAGGAUCACCUGCCAGACCUCCUUGAACGCAGGUCCCGGGGGCACGUCCCCGUAGCUCAAGUCCUCGCCGGCCUCCCCGAGGCCCGAGCUGCCGCUGCAGCUGCCCCCGCCGCCUCCCGCCCCGGGGGCCGAGGCGCCGUCGUGGUGGCCCUUGGCCCGGUUGUGCAGCUGCAGGAGGGCCUGGUACCAGCUGUCCUGCUCGGCCUCGCUGUCCGCCGCGAUGGCAAAGUGCUCGUCCCGGGUGUAAAGGGCCACCAGGUGCUUGUUCUUGGAGUCCGCCCGCUUGUUGAUGUUGAAGCAGCUCUCGAGGGGGAUCGAGCGUUUGGGGGCGCUCGACUUGUGCCGCCACUUCUUCUCGUUCUCGUAGUACUCGAGGCGCGCCGGGCCCCCCGCCUCGCUGGCCGCCCGCAGCACGAAGAAGCGCUUGUGCAUGCUCUUGGGUUUGCGCAGGUAGCCCACCUUGCGCACGUCCGAGAAGCCGUCGGUCUCCGGAGGGCUCGCCAUGCUGCCGCCGCCACCGCCGCCGCCGCCGAGCAGAGGGAGGCGCCGAAAAACAACCGGGUGGGGGGCGGAGGCUCCGCGCCGCGGCCCCGCACAUGCAAACAGGGCUGCAGGCGGCCGAGCCCCGGACUCCGAAAGCCACGCCGCCCCCCUGCGCCGGGGAGGGGCGGCCGGAGGGGGACGCAGCUGCCGCGCCGCGGAGACGGCCUGGGCCGGACUUUACGGGCGCUUCGUGCGCUGGGGGGGAGGCAGCGCGUCCGGCGUGAGUGCGGCCCCGAUCCUCCGAGAGCCCAGGCUCCGCGCAGCCGCCGCGGCCGGGAAGGGACGAAGAUGCAUCUCUCGCCGCCCGGGCUGGAGUGUGGCGCAGGCGGGCGGCGGCGGCGGCGGCCGGGGGUCCCCGCGUUGCCCCUCCAGGCGCGCGCGCCUUCCCUCCUGAGUUCCCCUCUGGAAGUAGCGAUUCCCGAGGCAAAUUAA